rnacentral:rRNA from 1 species
GUACCCGCUGAACUUAAGCAUAUCAAUAAGCGGAGGAAAAGAAAAUAACAAUGAUUCCCCUAGUAACGGCGAGUGAAGCGGGAACAGCUCAAAUUUGAAAUCUCCUUGGUCUCCAAGGCGAAUUGUAGUUUAAAGAAUCUUUUUCGGGGACAGGCAGGGUAUAAGUCCUUUGGAACAAGGCAUCGUAGAGGGUGACAAUCCCGUACACGAUCCCGCUAUUGGCCCUAUGUGAUAAGAUUUCAAAGAGUCGGGUUGUUUGGGAAUGCAGCCCUAAAUGGGUGGUAAAUACCAUCCAAAGCUAAAUAUUGGCGAGAGACCGAUAGCGAACAAGUACCGUGAGGGAAAGAUGAGAAGAACUUUGAAAAGAGAGUUAAAUAGUACGUGAAAUUGUCAAUAGUGAACGGUUUGGAACUAUUGUUUGUGACUAGAAAAUCAAUGAAUCUUUAUGGUUUAUGCACUUUUCUAUUUACAGGUCAACAUCAGUUUGAUUCGAGAUAAAAAGCUUUAUGAACCCUCGGGCAAGUAAGGUGCUGUCUUGGGUUGGACUGAGGACUGCAGCGUAGUCAUAGGAUAGCGGGUUGCCUCUUUGGAUCCUUUUGUAAACAGCUUGCUGAUUGCAUUAGACGUCUGGGGAGCUCGAUUCGUGAUUCACUACUAUGCUUUGGAUGUUGACAAAAUGGUUUCAAGCCACCCGUCUUGAAACACGGACCAAGGAGUCUAACAUAUCUGCGAGUUUUUGGGUGUCAAACCCAUAAGCGUAAUGAAAGUGAAUAAGAUGGGAUCUUCGGUGCACCAUCGACCGGUCUGGAUUUUUUUGAUAGAUCUGAGUCAGAGCAUAUAUGUUAGGACCCGAAAGAUGGUGAACUAAGCCUGAAUAGGGUGAAGCCAGAGGAAACUCUGGUGGAAGCUCGUAGCGGUUCUGACGUGCAAAUCGAUCGUCGAAUUUGGGUUUAGGGGCGAAAGACUAAUCGAACCAUCUAGUAGCUGGUUCCCUCCGAAGUUUCCCUCAGGAU